CGUUGAGAAGCUUAUAAUGGGAGAAGCGUCGGUCUUUUAAGCUGAAGAUAGGUGAUUCCCGACCACCCUCAACGA
rnacentral:tRNA from 1 species